rnacentral:rRNA from 1 species
CUUGGUCAUUUAGAGGAAGUAAAAGUCGUAACAAGGUCUCCGUAGGUGAACCUGCGGAGGGAUCAUUGAAGAGUUAGGGCCUCCGGCCCGACCUCCAACCCUUUGUACUUGAUACCAUGUUGCCUCGGGGGCGACCCUGCCGUCCGCGGUCUGGGGCCUCCGGUGGACCACUCAACCCUGCAUCUUUGCGUCUGAGUAAAUUUAUAAAUUAAACAAAACUUUCAACAACGGAUCUCUUGGUUCUGGCAUCGAUGAAGAACGCAG